CUCCUGCAAUUAGACUAAGUAUAGGAGGUCCAGCCUGCCCAGUGACUACGGGUUCAACGGCCGCGGUAUUUUGACCGUGCAAAGGUAGCGCAAUCACUUGUCUCUUAAAUAGAGACCUGUAUGAAUGGCUAGACGAGGGCUUAACUGUCUCCCCCUUCCAGUCAGUGAAAUUGAUCUAUCCGUGCAGAAGCGGGUGUAAAGAUAC
rnacentral:rRNA from 1 species